AUAAAGCCAUGCAUGUAUAAGUAUAAACGGCAUGAAGCGGGAAGCCGCGAUCGGCUCAUUACAACAGCUAUAAUUUACUUGAUCUUGACAUCCUACAUGGAUAACUGUGGUAAUUCUAGAGCUAAUACAUGCACCAAAGCUCCAACCCGCAAGGGAAGAGCGCAUUUAUUAGAACAAAACCAAGCGGCUUCGGCUGCCCAACGUUGACUCAGAAUAACUAAGCUGAUCGCAUGGUCUUGUACCGGCGACGUGUCUUUCAAGUAUCUGCCUUAUCAACUUUCGAUGGUACUGUCAUUGACUACCAUGGUGGUGACGGGUAACGGAGGAUCAGGGUUCGACUCCGGAGAAGGGGCCUGAGAAAUGGCCACUACGUCUAAGGAUGGCAGCAGGCGCGCAAAUUACCCACUCUCAAAACAACUAGAGGAGGUAGUGACGAGAAAUAACGAGACCGUUCUCAACAGAGGCCGGUCAUCGGAAUGGGUACAAUUUAAACCCUUUAACGAGUAUCUAUGAGAGGGCAAGUCUGGUGCCACCAGCCGCGGUAAUUCCAGCUCUCAAAAUGCAUAUAAUUAUUGCUGCGGUUAAAAAGCUCGUAGUUGGAUCUGUGCCAGCAUGCCGGUCCAUCUUCGGAUGCGUACUGGUUCAUUGCCGGCUUUCCUGCAGUUUGUCGGCUCUGUGCCCUUCACUGGGCGCAGUUGUUCGGUGCUGCAAGAAUUACUUUGAACAAAUCAGAGUGCUCUAAACAGGCGUUUCGCUUGAAUGUUCGUGUAUGCUAUAAUAGAAGAUGGAUUUCAGCUUCUAUUUUAUUGGUCGUUAUAGCACUGAGAUAUGGGUGCCAGAAGACACACGUGGGCAUUUCGUAUUGCUACGUGAGAGUGAAAUAUACUUUUGUGGGACCAAAAA
rnacentral:rRNA from 1 species